UACGUAGGGUGCAAGCGUUGUCCGGAAUUAUUGGGCGUAAAGAGCUCGUAGGCGGUCUGUUGCGUCCGCUGUGAAAACUCGGGGCUUAACCCCGAGCCUGCAGUGGAUACGGGCAGACUAGAGGUAGGUAGGGGAGAAUGGAAUUCCCGGUGUAGCGGUGAAAUGCGCAGAUAUCGGGAGGAACACCGGUGGCGAAGGCGGCAUCCUGGACCGACACUGACGCUGAGGAGCGAAAGCCAGGGGAGCAAACGGG
rnacentral:rRNA from 1 species